AAACACUCGCAGGAAGGACCCCCCUCGCGCAGGCCCUGCUACGAGGCACACAGUCUAUGCACAUCCAAUUACGUGUUGAUGGGCACAUCGCUCUACGAGCCCUGUGCGAUGGCAGGAUGGGCAACAUGUGCUGCCUCGAGCAGAGUGCGCCUUCCCCUUGGGCGCUGUAUGCCGCCUUUGGGCGGCGCCCCCCCACUAUUUGGGCAGCACGCCACCAUCAUUUAAGUGUCGUGCCUCCGAUUUUUGUAUCACUGUCAUGUUGUUGUUGUCACAUCAUCCAUCUAUCAAUCAUGAUGUCAGUUAUCAUGUCGCAUCAAGUCACUUUUACUUUCCUCUCUCUUCAC
rnacentral:lncRNA from 1 species